AUACUUACCUGGCAGGGGAGACACCACGAUCAGGAAGGUGGUUCUCCCAGGGCGAGGCUCUGCCAUUGCACUCGGGCCGUGCUGACCCCUGCGAUUUCCCCACAUGUGGGAGACUCGACUGCACAAUUUCUGCUAGUGGGGGACUGCGUGCGCGCUCUCCCCUC
rfam:Pteropus alecto contig87823, whole genome shotgun sequence.